rnacentral:rRNA from 1 species
AGCGAACGCUGGCGGCAGGCUUAACACAUGCAAGUCGAGCGGGCACUUUCGGGUGUCAGCGGCGGACGGGUGAGUAACGCGUGGGAACGUGCCCUCUGGUUCGGAAUAACUCAGGGAAACUUGAGCUAAUACCGGAUACGCCCUUUUGGGGAAAGGCUUGCUGCCGGAGGAUCGGCCCGCGUCUGAUUAGCUAGUUGGUGAGGUAACAGCUCACCAAGGCGACGAUCAGUAGCUGGUCUGAGAGGAUGAUCAGCCACACUGGGACUGAGACACGGCCCAGACUCCUACGGGAGGCAGCAGUGGGGAAUAUUGGACAAUGGGCGCAAGCCUGAUCCAGCCAUGCCGCGUGAGUGAUGAAGGCCUUAGGGUUGUAAAGCUCUUUUAUCCGGGACGAUAAUGACGGGACCGGAGGAAUAAGCCCCGGCUAACUUCGU